rnacentral:rRNA from 1 species
CAGUAGCCACGGUAAUACGAAGGGGGCUAGCGUUGUUCGGAUUUACUGGGCGUAAAGGGCGCAUAGGCGGACUGAUAAGUCAGGGGUGAAAUCCCAAGGCUCAACCUUGGAACUGCCUUUGAUACUGUUUGUCUUGAGUUCGAGAGAGGUAAGUGGAACUGCGAGUGUAGAGGUGAAAUUCGUAGAUAUUCGCAAGAACACCAGUGGCGAAGGCGGCUUACUGGCUCGAAACUGACGCUGAGGCGCGAAAGCGUGGGGAGCAAACAGGAUUAGAUACCCCUGUAGUCCCUGUCUCUUAUAC